GACAGAGGGUGCAAACGUUGUUCGGAAUUACUGGGCGUAAAGCGCGUGUAGGCGGCCCUGCAAGUCGGGUGUGAAAUCCCACGGCUCAACCGUGGAAGUGCACUCGAAACUGCAGGGCUAGAGUCCUGGAGAGGAAGGUGGAAUGCUUGGUGUAGAGGUGAAAUUCGUAGAUAUCAAGCGGAACACCGGUGGCGAAGGCGGCCUCUGGACAGUGACUGACGCUGAGACGCGAA
rnacentral:rRNA from 1 species